rnacentral:rRNA from 1 species
UACGAAGGGGGCUAGCGUUGUUCGGAAUCACUGGGCGUAAAGCGCACGUAGGCGGCGCGUUCAGUCAGGGGUGAAAUCCUGGGGCUCAACUCCAGAACUGCCUUUGAUACUGGAGUGCUCGAGUGUGGAAGAGGUGGGUGGAAGUCCUAGUGUAGAGGUGAAAUUCGUAGAUAUUAGGAAGAACACCAGUGGCGAAGGCGGCCCACUGGUCCGGUACUGACGCUGAGGUGCGAAAGCGUGGGGAGCAAACAGG